rnacentral:rRNA from 1 species
UUCUUUAAGGUAAGGAGGUGAUCCAACCGCAGGUUCCCCUACGGUUACCUUGUUACGACUUCACCCCAGUCAUGAAUCACAAAGUGGUAAGCGCCCUCCCGAAGGUUAAGCUACCUACUUCUUUUGCAACCCACUCCCAUGGUGUGACGGGCGGUGUGUACAAGGCCCGGGAACGUAUUCACCGUGGCAUUCUGAUCCACGAUUACUAGCGAUUCCGACUUCAUGGAGUCGAGUUGCAGACUCCAAUCCGGACUACGACGCACUUUAUGAGGUCCGCUUGCUCUCGCGAGGUCGCUUCUCUUUGUAUGCGCCAUUGUAGCACGUGUGUAGCCCUGGUCGUAAGGGCCAUGAUGACUUGACGUCAUCCCCACCUUCCUCCAGUUUAUCACUGGCAGUCUCCUUUGAGUUCCCGGCCGGACCGCUGGCAACAAAGGAUAAGGGUUGCGCUCGUUGCGGGACUUAACCCAACAUUUCACAACACGAGCUGACGACAGCCAUGCAGCACCUGUCUCACGGUUCCCGAAGGCACAUUCUCAUCUCUGAAAACUUCCGUGGAUGUCAAGACCAGGUAAGGUUCUUCGCGUUGCAUCGAAUUAAACCACAUGCUCCACCGCUUGUGCGGGCCCCCGUCAAUUCAUUUGAGUUUUAACCUUGCGGCCGUACUCCCCAGGCGGUCUACUUAACGCGUUAGCUCCGGAAGCCACGCCUCAAGGGCACAACCUCCAAGUAGACAUCGUUUACGGCGUGGACUACCAGGGUAUCUAAUCCUGUUUGCUCCCCACGCUUUCGCACCUGAGCGUCAGUCUUUGUCCAGGGGGCCGCCUUCGCCACCGGUAUUCCUCCAGAUCUCUACGCAUUUCACCGCUACACCUGGAAUUCUACCCCCCUCUACAAGACUCAAGCCUGCCAGUUUCGAAUGCAGUUCCCAGGUUGAGCCCGGGGAUUUCACAUCCGACUUGACAGACCGCCUGCGUGCGCUUUACGCCCAGUAAUUCCGAUUAACGCUUGCACCCUCCGUAUUACCGCGGCUGCUGGCACGGAGUUAGCCGGUGCUUCUUCUGCGGGUAACGUCAAUUGCUGCGGUUAUUAACCACAACACCUUCCUCCCCGCUGAAAGUACUUUACAACCCGAAGGCCUUCUUCAUACACGCGGCAUGGCUGCAUCAGGCUUGCGCCCAUUGUGCAAUAUUCCCCACUGCUGCCUCCCGUAGGAGUCUGGACCGUGUCUCAGUUCCAGUGUGGCUGGUCAUCCUCUCAGACCAGCUAGGGAUCGUCGCCUUGGUGAGCCGUUACCUCACCAACAAGCUAAUCCCAUCUGGGCACAUCUGAUGGCAAGAGGCCCGAAGGUCCCCCUCUUUGGUCUUGCGACGUUAUGCGGUAUUAGCCACCGUUUCCAGUAGUUAUCCCCCUCCAUCAGGCAGUUUCCCAGACAUUACUCACCCGUCCGCCACUCGUCAGCAAAGCAGCAAGCUGCUUCCUGUUACCGUUCGACUUGCAUGUGUUAGGCCUGCCGCCAGCGUUCAAUCUGAGCCAUGAUCAAACUCUUCAAUUUAAAAGUUUGAUGCUCAAUGAAUUAAACUUCGUAAUGAAUUACGUGUUCACUCUUGAGAC